rnacentral:tRNA from 1 species
GCGUCGGUGGUGUAAAAGCGUAGAGCAUUCCCGCCCGGUCAGAGGGAGGUGCGGGUUCGAGUCCCGCCUGGCGCU